rnacentral:rRNA from 1 species
UACGUAGGGUGCAAGCGUUAAUCGGAAUUACUGGGCGUAAAGCGUGCGCAGGCGGCUAUGCAAGACAGAUGUGAAAUCCCCGGGCUCAACCUGGGAACUGCAUUUGUGACUGCAUGGCUAGAGUACGGCAGAGGGGGAUGGAAUUCCGCGUGUAGCAGUGAAAUGCGUAGAUAUGCGGAGGAACACCGAUGGCGAAGGCAAUCCCCUGGGCCUGCACUGACGCUCAUGCACGAAAGCGUGGGGAGCAAACAGG